AUUGAACGCUGGCGGCAUGCCUUACACAUGCAAGUCGAACGGCAGCGGACCUUCGGGUGCCGGCGAGUGGCGAACGGGUGAGUAAAGUAUCGGAACGUACCUUUCAGUGGGGGAUAACGUAGCGAAAGUUACGCUAAUACCGCAUAUUCUGUGAGCAGGAAAGCAGGGGAUCGCAAGACCUUGCGCUGAUUGAGCGGCCGAUAUCAGAUUAGCUAGUUGGUGAGGUAAAGGCUCACCAAGGCGACGAUCUGUAGCGGGUCUGAGAGGAUGAUCCGCCACACUGGAACUGAGACACGGUCCAGACUCCUACGGGAGGCAGCAGUGGGGAAUUUUGGACAAUGGGGGCAACCCUGAUCCAGCCAUGCCGCGUGAGUGAAGAAGGCCUUCGGGUUGUAAAGCUCUUUCGGCCGGGAAGAAAUCGCGCCAGUUAAUACCUGGUGUGGAUGACGGUACCGGAAUAAGAAGCACCGGCUAACUACGUGCCAGCAGCCGCGGUAACAC
rnacentral:rRNA from 1 species